rnacentral:rRNA from 1 species
UACAUGUGGGGCAAGCGUUGUUCGGAAUUACUGGGCAUAAAGGGUGCGUAGGUGGCUUGUUAAGUCAAGGGUGAAAGUUUUCGGCCCAACCGGAAAAUGGCCUUUGAUACUGGCGAGCUCGAGUGCGUGAGGGGUAACCGGAACGAGCAGUGUAGCGGUGAAAUGCGUAGAUAUUGCUCGGAAGGCCAACGGCGAAGGCAGGUUACUGGUGCGCAACUGACACUGAGGCACGAAAGCGUGGGGAGCAAACAGG